ensembl:lincRNA
AACAGAUUCCUAAUCACUGGUCUGUGAGCCCUUUAGGCAGAAGCCAACUAGAGCCCAGAUGGAACAAAUCAUGCUGAGACAAUUUCUCCCUUUUCAUUAGGAACCACUGGGCUCUCAGCUGAAGGAGAUGCAAUAAACCUAAUGUAUCUUGAUUUUGUUGAAAGACCCAGUUGAGAGAUCCUCAUUGCCCUAUUUCAUCCACAGCCUUUCAGGAGUUAGGCCAGUGGAGGCUGUCUGCUAACAAGACCUUGGUUCACAUGACUCUGCAUGUUCCCAGAGGCUGGAGAGCCCACGUAGGGACAUCUAGGCAGGACGUGUAUCACUGCCUCUGCAUAGACUAUUAUUCAUGCCUCUUUUCCUCAGUGGGACAAACUCCUGGAUGUCUGAAGCCCCAUCUUGCUCAGUGAGAAGCUGGGCACCUACGUGUUGAAGCUGAGAUGGAUCCUACCAGGAGUUCGGACUAGGUCUGCCCCGCUGACUGCUCUAUCUCCUCGCCACUCCUCACCACACCAUCUCUCUCCUGACACAGUGCCUGGUAUACAGAUCAAUUAACAUUUGCUGAUUGACUAGAUGAGGAAACUGAAGCACAAAGAAGUCGGCGUGAGCAGAUGGAGAGACCCAGAGAGGGGAAGAAAUCUGCCUGAUGUCACACAGGCUUCCCCAGGAGCACACAGCCAAUGGGGUGAAUGGAGGCUACAGCUGGUCUCUGCUGUGUCUACCCAGCAGUAUACCCUACGCACGGCUGAGUCCACCACACACAAACCUGAAGUCCACUUGACAAGCGAAACCGCCAUGGGUCUGUGUCUUCCCAGAAAAGGUUCAGUUUGCUGAUGCGUAUUACUCAUCUCCAUGUGGAAAUCCCUCUGUCAACACCGUAGUAUAAGACAAACAGAUUGUGUUGACCAAGAGCUUAAGAAGCAAUGACUCGUCCAGAGCUGAUGCAGACCCCAGGGUCUGGACUGGCAAGAGCUACAGCACGAAUCCCUCUGACUUUUCAGGAAACUGUCCGCAGCUCAUCCCUUCCCACUAAGAUCCUGAGUGGGAGGACGGAGGCAUAUCAGAGGACAGUUUCAUCUGAAAUCCUGCUGUUAAGUCAGACCUCUGCAUGCUGUGGGCAAAGAACAGUACCUCUUCUUAAAAGUGUGGCCUUCAGCUCCUUGGGACAGGAGGGGAACAGAUAAGUGUGUUUGGUGAACUUUUGGGAGCCCAGCCUCAGGCCAGACCAAGCACAGCACUUACAUAUAAACAUGUAUCCCAGGUGCCCACCUAGAGGCUGUGAAAUCCCCUGAAGGCUGUUCUCUCAAGCUGGGCAGGACCUCUCUCUCUCUCUUGCAAUGGCCUCAAACAGAAGACACCCAGCCCCUCACACCUGUCACCUCUCCCUCUCAGCAGACACCCUCGUGAGAGCAGCCCCUGACUCCCUCGCAUCCAUGGCCCCUUGACCAAGAACUGUGAGGCUAACUGAGGUAGAAAUGGCCAGGCCACGAAGUACAUGAGGGAUCCAGAGCCAAGCUCUCCCCCGACUCACAGGCGGCUCUUUCUGCUCCCACAUCUGAGACCAGUCUCACAUCAGCCUUGGUCCGUGUCAAGAGAGCAUCUGCUCUGUAUCAGGCUGCAGCUAGAUGAUGGAGAAGUAGAUGCAUAAAACAAUUUCCUUUUUCUUAGAAUCUCCUCUUCCAUUAAAAGAUAUAUAUAUAUAAAUGUAAAAUUAAAUAAGGCAUAGUAAUUCCUCCAAGAUGAGUUCAAAUAAGACGCUUGACCUUUCUCUGCCACACGUGCUCCUGUAUGGCCUUGGAUAAUUUAUGCUCCUUUUCUGGACUUCCAAUUUCCCAUCUCCAAAGCUCUGCUCUUAACAUAAUGUUCCUACAAUCCAAGGACCCCCUCCCCAGAAGCUUCAUGGCCAGAGAUCAGACCCAAAGUCUUUUCUGCAACUUGCUCCCCAGAACCCUGGCUUCUCUGUGGUCUUUGCUCAAAGAUAACUUCAAGUUCCAGGACACCCAGUGAAACCUACUUCAUCACCUGUUUCUUCUGUUGGCCAUUAGAGCCCCACAUCACUGCAUCCCUACCUGCUGUGCAUCUAGGGGCCACCCCAAUAGUCCUCCCAAUCUCAGGGUCCUGGUGGGCAAUAAGACCAUGUAGGCUCACACAAGGCAAUUGUCUUCUUGCUGGUUGCACAGCCCCCAGGCUAUUCUAAUGUUGGUUUCAGCCUCUUAAAACACUGCUCUCAUUGUAUCAUCUCCUUGAAAAUCUGCAGUGGCUCCCCAGUGUCUCUCAUCUCAGACCUGAGCUCCUGAGCCUGGUGCUUAUCACUCUCCGGGUCCUGUUUCCACCCCACCCACCUCUUUGGGUCUUACCAAACCCUCUCCUUAUGCUCACGCUUCAAGGCAAGUUUCCUGCUAUUCUUCAGGACUGACUCGCUGUCCCCACACAUCAAGAUGCAGCUUAAAUGCGGUCUCCUCCUAGAAACUUACUCAGACCCCCCCACCCCAACCCAGACCACAGGGUACCCAGAACACUGAAGUGCUGACUGCUCCUCCCCCUCAAUAUUCACAUAGCUAGCCCUUUUACUGCCUUGUGGCCUCUGUUUAAAUAGCCACAUGUCAGAGAGCCUCUUGAUCUAGCAUAAAUGUGUAAGUCCCCUCCCACCCUUGGAACUCCCUUUGUAUCGUUCACAUUUCUCACAGCACUCAGCACCCUUUUGCAUAGAUCAGCCAGUUUACUGUCUGUCUUUCCACCACAGCAAAUUCUCUGUGAGCAGGUGUUUUGCUUGCUGUUAUAUUUCCAGUGCCUAGAACAAUGCAUGGCGCAGAGUAGGUGCACAGUAUUGAUAGAUCAUCGUUGAAUGAAUGAGGGAAGGAGGGAAUGAGCGAAGGAGUCUGUAGCUUAGAGCCUGGAUACCUUCAGGCAUGUUUCCAAGAUGCUCUUAUCUGAUGUGGCUGCCACUGUCCUAUGUCUGCUCAGCCCCAGCCCUGUCUAAUGUCGCGGCAGAUGGACAGCACACAUUCUGGGGGUCUCUUUGUAAAUGACAAGCCCCAGAGAACUGAAAGAGAAGCUUCUAGAGGGGCAGGGCCAGGAUCAGUCCACUGCCUGCUUUCUAAAUGCCACAUUUUAAACCCUGCUGUUCCGUCCUCCCCAUCCCCAGGCUCUCCGCAAAUUCCAUAGGGUUAAAAGGGCAAUCCUGGUGGAAAUGAAGAAGAAAACAAAAGCGUCCUCUUUUCCAUGAUGGGGCUCAUGAGGAGCUGUGUUUCUCUUUCCCCUUUAAGCCUGAGCCCAGAGUACUUCUGCGGAAACCAGCUGCCACCACCUAUCUAUCUGAUUAAGGAGCUUAAUUCCUAAGCUCUCAGCACCACCGAUAGAGGGAACGGGACGCUAGAAAAGCAAGAAGUGAAAUAAGAGGAACAGGCAGUGUGGCAACAUCUCCCUCUCUUGCUGUUAACACCCUGCAAGCACACAGGGCUCUCCACCAGCACAGUGAUGCACCCCCACCCUGAUGUCGCCUCACCUGGGCGCCUGGACUUCGAGGACCAUAUGGAAGAGGCAGGUGAGGGUAACUCACCAGCCCUGAGCACUGCUGCAGACCCAACAUAAACUCUCGUUUGCAGAUGGUUAGGUGGGUGGGUAAGCAGGUGACUGUGAAGGCGAAACGUAUAUAGAAUGAGUGAGUGAGGAAUGCAGCGGUGGGUGGGCCGGAGUGACUGAAUGCCUUCUCCAUCCUGGUGCCAUUGGCAUCUUUGCAAGGACACCUCACUGGGCUUGGCAAGACCCUAUCUCUGAAUUCUCUUUUCAGCCUGUCUCUAGUGCAGUCUCAGGGAUAGCAAGGAGGUUGGCAAUUCCUGACUGAUGUGAAUCAGACAAGUGAUUCUCAGUCUCCAAGAAGCCUUCAUAAGUGUUUGUUAAAUCCUUUGUAGCAGGCAAGGAGGCAGAUAAAACCACAUGAAGGCCUCUCAGAUCUCCUGUAUCCUCUACAAACCCAGAAAGUAAGUUACAGCUUAGGGAGGCCAUGUGACUUAGCUAUUUUAUCCAGGAACUUCUUAAAAUCAUCCAGGAAUUAAACACCAUCUAUUACCAGUCCUCUCAAAGCUCCUGAAUGGCAGUCUAGUUUGCUUGCCCAAAGACAGUAAGAUGUUUGGGAGGCAGCCAUGGGUUGACAGGUACUUCAAAUGUAACAUGUCCUAAAGUGGAUUAUAAUCAUCCUCCCCAAAUCUUCUACUUCUUUAGAAUUUUUAUUCUACUGAAUGGCACCACCAUCUAUCUGAUUGCUUGGCUGAUAAAAUGUUACUCAUUCAUUUAUCCCAUAAAUAUUUGUGGCAGGCGUCAGUAACAUGCUAACUGCUAGAACAAAGCAAUGAGCAAAACUCAUCGUCAGAUAAGAAAAGUAAGCAUUAAUUACUGUGAAAUAAUUGUAAAUAAACGUAAAAUCGCAACUACGAUACAUUUGAAGGAAGUAAUGUACUGUGAAGCUUUGUAGAAUGGGAUUUGACCUAAUCAUGGAGGCCAUGGAAGUGAUAGCUGAACUGAAAGCUGAGACAUAAAAGGAAUUCAGUAGGUGAAGACAUGAAGGAAGAGUGUUCUAAGCGGAAAAACAGCCAAUUUAAAGGCCUGUGGCAGGAGGCUUGACGAGCCCAAGGGUCUGAGACAAGGCCAGGAGAGAGGAAAACGAGAACUGGGAAGGACGCAGGAGUGGAGGCAGGGCUUAGGCACACACAGCUUUGCAGGACUUACAGAAAAGGUUGGUCUUUAAAUUAAGAUCAAUAGGAAACAACUGAAGUACUUUCAAGGAGGGAAAUGACAUGAGCUGUGUUUUGAAGUGCACUUGGCUGUUGUGUGAGAACAAAUUGGAGGAAGCCAGCAUGGGUAUUGGUAGACCAGUUAGGAAGCUCUCACAGUACUCUGGAAAGAUGAAAGUGGUGCCUUUAACUAGGUCAUAUUGGUGGGGAUGGAGACAAAAGUGACAGAUUGGAGAGGGAUUUUCAAGAGAACACCAACAGACUUGGUGGUGGAUUGGAUAUGAGCCUUAAAAGAGAAAAGUAUUGAAGAUGAUGGCCAGCUCUCUCAC